UUACAUCUAAACAAUGAUGCGUACAAAUGGGUAAACUAGACGAUAACUGGAGAAUGCUACGCACCGUAUUAGACAAUUCUUAUUUUCAUGCUCCACUCAAUGAAGUCAGUAUUUUAUUCAUUGUUGUAAUGGAGUUUAUAGGAAUGUAAAUAUAUCGGUAAGGCAAUCCUCCUUUAAAUGCGCCAACCCGGAAGUAAAAGUGUGUUUGUUGAUAGACGGUGACUAUGAAACGAUAGAUAUCGCUUACUUUAUCAGUGCUACUCACCAUGGAAGUAAAGUUGAUGGUAUUGUUUUGCAUUACCCCUGGGAUUGCUGUACAGGACAAUCAGAAUAAUACCUGUCUAUUUAAUGUGAGCGUGCCGGAGGAAUCAGUCACUUCUGUUAUGGAUCAAUGCGCGAGAACUACGACGACGGGGUGGUUUUGGGGGAAAAGAGAUGUAAAAAGGCAAAUAUUCCUUCCAUGAAU